GUUAGACUGCUGUUGUGCGUUGAAGGCCGUCCUGGCAGGAAGAGGAGCUCUUAGGCAAUGGCACAUAUCAGCUCAGCAGCUGAAUGCUCUCCUGGAGCCUGUCCAAACUCAGACCAUGUUCUCAGAAAGCCAGAGGGAAGCUCUGAUAGUAGUGCAACUGAGGAUAUGGUGACGUUUCCUGUGGAAGGAGUCUCCAGUGUCAGCACUUUGUAACAGUCAGAGCUGAGAUGGUUGGAUAUAAGCUGAGAAGUGAGAUUUGAAAUGACCAAACACCUAGUGGCCAGUUUUCAUUACUAUAUUCCAGUGAAGGAAUCUUCCGGCCAAAUAUCUGCUCCAAAAAACUGCUAGAAUGUUCUGCUUCCUCAUCAUCACCUCUGGUGAAAGCGAGAGACGAUAACAGAGAGAGAGAGAGGGAUUGGGGGGAGGAGGUGAGGUGAAGAGCAAACCGGGUGCCAGGACUCUUCUCUUUUAAGUCUGCUUCCUCCUCUCACUCACAGAGAUGGGAGUCUUCCUGUGUCUGGCCUUUGUCACCUCCUGUUAGCCAAGAAGAGCUUGAAAAGGAAAUGAAGGAUCUCCUUUUUGCCACCUUAAUAUCAUCGGUCAUAAUCGCUUUGUCCUAAGUGGACAACAAGCAGACGUCCGUGGAAGAAAUGAUGAAUCUGGGAAAUUUUUACAGGAUACAAGUAUGACAACAAUACAAUUCUCAUUCAGCUUAUGACGAGAGCUUCUACAGAUGAAUUUAUACCUGUAGCAUGUUAAAAUAUACAACAUUCUCGAAUCUGAUUAGUCAGAAGGUAUUGAUUAAUUUUCUAUAACAGCAGCUUUUAUUUCAAGUUUUUAUUGAUUGAAUUUGUUUUGGGUUGCGUAAGAUUCCUGUCAGCAAACUAGAAUUAACCAAACAACUAAAUGAUGUAUAAUAUGUUUAAGUCUAAAACUUACCUGCCAAAAUGAGUACUUGUCUCAAAACAUUAUUAAGCUAUAUAAUCUUGUUUUUAAAUAAACAUUUUUUAACAUACCAAGAAGAGUUUGUAUUUACAGAUUUAAUUUCAAAGAGGAAGUUAAUUAUCCACAAAAGUGAUUUGUCCAAGAUGGCUGUUCCCACCCUGUUCCAGUUUUCGGCUACAUGGUGAAGUUUAGCUUAUGUUUAUAGAUGACAGGAAGUCACACUAUGUUCUAAACCACAUGUGACAUUACUGAACUUGAUGUAAUUUGAAGUAGAUUUUUACACAAAAGAUUUUAGGUUACUUCCAUUACCUGUUAGCAACAUUAACCUUGUAGUGAA